GUAAAUAAUUCAAACUUCAAGAAAAAUUUAAAACUUGAUUAUGUUUUUAAAUUAGAUUUGAACAAUCUAUUACCAUAAAAACUACCCGCUAACUAUUAAGUAAUUACUUACCACUCACCAUGUUGAUAUGGUGCUUUCAAACUAAUAAGAGCACCAAAUAAUAGGAUGAGUAUAACCUGCCGACCUGGCCCACGUUGGUCUGUUCGUUGAUAAAUAAAGUCAAUUUUAUCUAUCUUUUAUACAACCUCAUUAAUUGGGAGUAACUCGUGCACAUGUUAUGAUGGUACUCUAAGAAUAUUGAAUCGUUUUCUUUUAUUGUUGGAGCCACAUUAUUUUCUUGUUUGUUUAAUUUUUAUUAUUAUUAUUAUUUUAACAAUUUUAAGAGAUUGAUUUAGUGAAUAAGAUGGUCUCUUAUUAGAUAUUUGAGUUCAAGUCUUACCAUUAUGCUAUACAACAAUUUUGCAUUUGAUUUUGUUCCAAAGAGCUUCUUGCAGCCGCAAAUGCUGCUAAUAAUGCUCAAGCCAUCAUCACAACACUUUUGGAGGAGUAUGAGAACAUUUUUGAUGCUUUUGGAGGUGAUGAUUCAGAUGUUGGAUCCCCCAGGAUUAAUCUCACAGCAACA